UCUCCGUAGGUGAACCUGCGGAAGGAUCAUUAUUGUAUAACCGAGGUGCGAGGGCUGUCGCUGACCCGAAAGGUCGUGCACGCCCGAGUGCCCUCACACACAUCCAUCUCACCCCUAUGUGCACCUCCGCGUGGGUCCCCCUUUGGCUUGUUCGGAGGGGGGCUUACGUUUUCACACAAACUUUGUAUGCAGUGUAGAAUGUAUUUUUUGUUUUUGCGAUCACGCAAUCAAUACAACUUUCAACAACGGAUCUCUUGGCUCUC
rnacentral:misc_RNA from 1 species